UACAGAGGUCCCAAGCGUUGUUCGGAUUCACUGGGCGUAAAGGGUGCGUAGGCGGUCGGGUAAGUUUGAUGUGAAAUCUCCGGGCUUAACCCGGAAACUGCAUUGAAUACUAUUCGGCUUGAGGUCUGGAGGGGGGACUGGAAUUCUUGGUGUAGCGGUGAAAUGCGUAGAUAUCAAGAGGAACACCUGCGGCGAAGGCGGGUUGCUGGGCUGACACUGACGUGGAGGCGCGAAAGCUAGGGGAGCGAACGGG
rnacentral:rRNA from 1 species